rnacentral:lncRNA from 1 species
UUAUUUUAUUUUAUUUUUUUCCGGUACCCAGAAUCAAACUCACGAUGUGGCGCUUGCCAGGCAGGCGCUGUGCCGCUGAGCUAAAUCCCCAGCCCCUCUGCAUACAUUUUAUAAGAUUGUUGUAAUGUUGCAAGAAGAUGUAUUGUGAAUUGAAAUAUGUUUUUUCAAAUUGUUUGGAAGUUUGGUAUUUGUGUCACAGUGUGCGAACAGUUCACAGUGCUAAAAUGAUGAGUAAGAAACAAAGGCAUGGCUUCUAAGAACUGCAUGCAUGUUUGAAAAUUCCAUUUGACUGGCUUUUCUCCAAGGUAUAACGGCUGGAAAGGUCAAUAUUUUUGCCUUAAAUAGAACAUUGACCAAUUUAAUUGGCCACAGAAAAUUAAAAGAGGUGUCAAAUAUUUUUGAAGCAUCUUGACAUAACAC